GGGAAUAUUGCACAAUGGGCGAAAGCCUGAUGCAGAAACGCCGCGUGAGUGAUGAAGGCCUUAGGGUUGUAAAAAUCUGUCUUCUGGGACGAUAAUGACGGUACCAGAGGAGGAAGCCACGGCUAACUAAGUGCCAACGGCCGCGGUAAUACGUCGGUGGCAAGCGUUGUCCGGAUUUACUGGGCGUAAAGGAUGCGUAGGCGGAUAUUUAAGUGAGAUGUGAAAUUCCCGCGCUUAACUUGGGAGCUGCAUUUCAAACUGGGUAUCUAGAGUGGGGGA
rnacentral:rRNA from 1 species